AUGACAAUAAAGGUUCAAUGUCCUUGAUUUUUUUGGCAUUGCCAUUAACAGUCAACCUGCUGCAAGAGUUGUCUUUGAAUUAUUUUCUGAUGUGUGUCCCAAAACAUGCAAGAACUUUAGCUAUUUUUGUACAGGUUAAAAGGGGACAGGGAUAUCAACUCAGAAGCCAUUCCAUUACAAGAGUUCUCUUUCACAGAGUUGUCAAGGAUUUUAUGGUUUAAGGUAGUGACUUCAGUGAAGGAAAUGGUUGAGAAGGGGGAAUCUAUCUAUGGAGGAUUUUUGGAAGAUGGGAGUUUUGCUCUUAAACACAACAAAGAAUUUCUCUUGUCAAUGGCCAACAGAAGGAAGGAUACAAAUGGUUCACAGCUCUUCAUAACAAUGAAACCAACUCCUGAUUUAGAUGGGCAUCAUGUUGUUUUUGGACAAGCAAUCUUUGGCCAAGAAGUUGUAAGAGAGAUGGAAAACCAGAAGACAGAUGCAGCAAGCAAACUGUUUGUGGAGGUAUGGAUACUCAGUUAUGGAGAACUGAUUUCCAAACCUAAAGUUAAGAAAGAAUAAAAGAAAAGGCAUAAAUCAUCAUCUUCCUCCUCCUCAUCUAGUGACUCAGAUAGCUCAAGUGAUUCUCAGUCCUCUUCAGAUUCCAAAUGUGCUUCUGAAGAGAAAUCAAAGAGAAGAGGAAACAUUGGAAAACUUCCCAAAAACACAAGAAAGAAAAGAAGAAGCAAAAGAAAAGCAAGAAGAGUGCAUCUAGUGAGAAUGAAGCUGAAAAUUUAGAAGCAUAACCCCAGUCUACUGUCCAUCCGGAAGGGAUCCCUCCUAUACCUGCAAAUAGAUUCCUAAUGAGAAAGUCCUUCUAAAGCUGAUGAAACAGAAAGGAAAAGCCAGAGAGAGAGAGAAAGAGAAAGAAAGUGUAAUCCAUCUAACUCCCAUCCUGCCUUGUACCAGAGAUGACUUUCAGUUUCUAGAUCUGGCAGGAAAGUUAAUGGAAUAGGACCAAUGUGUUAUUGAACUCCUUCCAGAUCCAGAUCAAGUGAUUAUUUCAGAUUUAGUGAGACUCUUCCACAUUGGAGGCAAGAAAUGCAGAAAGCUCAAAGAUUGAGGGUAUCAAGUGGUAAAAGUUGGAUUAAAGGGGAUAAGAGUGAGUUGAAUAAAAUAAAAGAAAAUUAGAGAAGUCAAGUUAGAAUAAAAGAGAGAAAAAUAACUGAUCAAGGAAUGUAUUUGAGAGUCCAAACAGAAAAAAUGAAAAAGAAAAGAAAGUUAAAAAACUGUAAAUCUAACAGCAAAGAGAGAGAUAUCAGAAGAAAUUCAGAAAUAGAUGAUGAAUAUAA